UUAAUUGAAGCCAAAAAGAGGCAAAUUAUUGUUAAUAAUUACAUUGAAUAUUACUUAUUCCAAUUAAA
rnacentral:tRNA from 1 species